UGGGGAAUAUUGCACAAUGGGCGCAAGCCUGAUGCAGCCAUGCCGCGUGUGUGAAGAAGGCCUUCGGGUUGUAAAGCACUUUCAGCGGGGAGGAAGGCGAUAAGGUUAAUAACCUUGUCGAUUGACGUUACCCGCAGAAGAAGCACCGGCUAACUCCGUGCCAGCAGCCGCGGUAAUACGGAGGGUGCAAGCGUUAAUCGGAAUUACUGGGCGUAAAGCGCACGCAGGCGGUCUGUCAAGUCGGAUGUGAAAUCCCCGGGCUCAACCUGGGAACUGCAUUCGAAACUGGCAGGCUAGAGUCUUGUAGAGGGGGGUAGAAUUCCAGGUGUAGCGGUGAAAUGCGUAGAGAUCUGGAGGAACACCAGUGGCGAAGGCGGCUCUCUGGUCUGUAACUGACGCUCAGGUGCGAAAGCGUGGGGAGCAAACAGG
rnacentral:rRNA from 1 species